GCAGAAUCCAUGUGCAGAUCAACUGUGCAUGCUGUGCUGCUUCAGUUUAGCUUAAAGUUUAGUUUAAAACAAAGAUACAGGUGCCAACAACUGCCUCGUGUUUGUGUCUCACCUGUAGACAUGUGAGGCGUCUGAUGUCGAACCUUUUAUACUGAUUCCAGUCAAAUCUGCACCUGAAACCUGCAAGAAAUCGCUGCUUGAACCUGAUGGAUUCAGGMCCAACUCUUCUAACAGCAAAUCUGUGACAGGAUGAAGAAACAGACUUCAUGCAUACAGCUCAGUGUUCAUGCAACAACAGAGCACACUGUUCUGUUGCACUCAUCCCUUCAUGUUUUUAUGGUAACCAGUAUGUUUUGUGCAGAGAGAAUUGUUUCCUGCGCUGUGAACUCCGGUUGUUUCACUCGAAUCGGCUUCCUCAGGAAAUGAUGACACGAUAUGUAGCAGAAGUGAAACUUGUGAUCAUGUCACAAGAAUCUGGUGGCUGAACCAAAUACAACUAACUUAGCAAAUUUCAA